UACGGGGGGAGCAAGCGUUGUUCGGAUUUACUGGGCGUAAAGGGCGCGUAGGCGGCCUGUGCAAGUCAGUUGUGAAAUCUCCGAGCUUAACUCGGAACGGUCAACUGAUACUGCUCGGCUAGAGUGCGGAAGGGGCAACUGGAAUUCUUGGUGUAGCGGUGAAAUGCGUAGAUAUCAAGAGGAACACCUGCGGCGAAGGCGGGUUGCUGGGCCGACACUGACGCUGAGGCGCGAAAGCCAGGGGAGCGAACGGG
rnacentral:rRNA from 1 species